rnacentral:lncRNA from 1 species
UUUACUGGAUCUGCAAAGAUUAAUACCAAAUCAUGCACAUGAGCUCAUCAAAUUUAUUGACACAUCUCUGAGAUUGUGCAGAGAGUAUUUUUAUCUUAUAAGAGAUUCCAGUCACAACACACAGGAUUUACAACCUCAGCNAGAAUUAAUCAACAUAAAUGUUUUUGAACAUGACUUUUGACAAACUAGAAUGGAUGCUCAAAUUAAAAUACUCAACC